GAGUGUCCUGCCUGUCUUGCAAAACUUACUUGGCUUAAGCAUAUUUUUGAUUGAAAAACAUCAGUGCUGCUCUAUUUUCUGAGACCGAGGAGCAACAUUCCACAACCAGGGCCACAUGUCAAGAGUGGAGUUUGUGACUAACCCUCUCAGCAUUGCCCCUUCUGUUCGCAGGCACCACUUCUAUGAACCAGUGGGAGGAAGCAGGAACACAUUGUUCCCAUUUCACUGUAGCUUGAGAAGAGAGAAAAGAGGCAAAUGAGGGGUUUAGACUGAAUUAAUUAAGCCCAACACAUUUCUGUGGAAAAUUUAAAGGUGUGAAUGUUUGAGAAGUUUAGAUGAACAUUUUAGAUUCACACCCCCAUCUCCACCUGUUGAAAUAUUUCUCCUUUUAGGCUUCUCUCCAAAGCUACUUUUCCCUGAAGACUUCCUGGAUUCCCAUAAAAUGGGGUUCAGCCGCCCCUAAUGCCCGUGGCCAUUUUGUGGGAGGGAAUCCUGCUUAAAACACUGCUUUGCCCAAGGACUGUGAUUGGACUUGAUCAAGACUCUUGACUGCAGAAGAAGUCUACGAAUACGAUUUAAUUGUAAAUCAUGGCUAAAGAACUUGCCAGCAGACACUUGGCCUGCCAAUGGUAGCACUGGAUGUGCGGUGCUGGCUUGGGACAGGUGAUGAAGGAUGGUGGCUUCCUGGGACCAUGCUGCCCAAGACGGAUGGACCCACGGAAGCAGAUGAUGCCUCUUGAGUUAUUCAGUGAAGUACUUGUAUGCUGUCAUUUAAACCUAUGUUUCAUCAACCAGUACAAGCCAUAUGGCCAAAGCCAGCACCAAUGAUGUAGAAGAGCUCUGCCUACUAUAGUUGGUGUUACUAAAAAGUCACAUGACAAAGUAAGUGGCUAUAUAAUUCUAUGAUUGAGUGGGCAUAAGAAUGGACGACAACAAUUUCUCCUACCACAGUCCAUCUACUCUUUGAUCUAUUUUUUUUUACAUGCAAAAUACACUUACUCUUACAGAAGGCAUGCCAAAGUCUCAUCCAUUUAUGACAUCUGGGAUUUCAUUUAUAUUCAUUUUGCAUUUGGUUGCUCUUGACUGAGAGAACAGUGAAUUUAAAGACAAUUAUUUCCCCUUACUCACCUGGCAUGCAGUGAUGGAACAGAGACAGGUUAAUUUACACAAGUAUAUGCAUUCAGAAUGGGGAUGAAGAGAAGGUACAUGACUGUCAUUGAUUCGUAGCAAUACUCAAAUCCUGUGGGCAAUAUUGCCUGGCUUCUUUACCCUGGGAGUAGAGUAUUUGCCUUUAUUAGCCUGCACUUUACUCCCUGGGAAUGGAUUCCCAUUUUGUUGUUCUCUAUGGCUCUUGACUCUACUCUCUGGAAAGUUCUUUCUUGAUCAUCAUGUUCCUUAGCCACUUCUGAAGCAGAAAUGAAGAACAUGCUACCUCAGUCUGCUUCCUGCCAGUAGAACGUUGGAGAAAACAAACUCUUAUAUUUUAAAUGGUUAUAGAAUUAAGCCUGGCUGACAGCGCUUUUGGCAAUUCAUUAACUUCUAAAAAGGACACAGAAUACAGAAACCUACACUUAUCACAAUGUAAUAAUGCUAGUACAUAAUUAAAAUAAAGACUGAAAUGAAAAAGCCUCUAUUGGUUGGAAAUUUAAAAAUUCCCUCUUAAAAGAACGUCUAGCUAUUAUAUGUCAGAACCUAGGGCUUCCAUUAAAGGAGUCACAGUAGAUCCUUUCAUUUGCAUAAAACGGCUCCUAAAGUCUGUGGAUAUUAUCUUUGCUUUUCCCAAAGUACAUAUAAUUAAUUCUGGGGAGAGAAGGAUAUCUGAAAAAGAAAUAUGAGCCUGGCUAACAACACAAUAGGGAUCAAAUAUUUAGAAAACUCAUGAAGUUUUAGAGAGACUUGGAUUAUGGACAUUUGUUCCAUGUUUUUUGGUGUAUAAAUAUUAAAAACUGCUGUAUCUUCUGUUCAGAGUGCCUGCCUUAUUCUCAGUGAGUGCUAAUUGCCCCCAAAUCCUAUCUUGUUUAAAACUGUAAAAAUUAAAAUGGUGACCCGCUCCUCUUCUUCCACCUUUUCAUCUUCAUGGUCCUUUGCUUAUUGUUGAAUACGUAUUCCUACUUGGCUCUGCCUUUGGCCACAUUUCCUUCUAUUUGAUGGUGUAGUUUUCUCUUGCCUGGUUUCAUUACAAAUGGAGUGUGAAUUUUUUUUCUCUCUUAUUCUUCCUGUGGCUUUCCAGUGAUUCCCAAGAAGAUAAGAAAAUAUUUUGACUUUACUCUCUUUAAACUGGAAGUUCAACUUUGGAAUUGUAAAGACAGAUGGGCUUUAUGACAACCUUUUGCAAUGUACUGAUGAUAGUUUUGAUUAACUAAGACAAUUUCAAGGGCAGUAUAAUGACCAAUAUUUUGAUCUUACUGAGAAAGAAAGAGGGCAUUAAAAUAAUUAUUUCUGGAUGUGUUGUCUAAAAAACUAUCAGAUAAUCUCAAAAUUGCAUAUGGAAUAUCUCCAAAGAAGUUUUUCUGACAUCCUUAACAAUGCUUCAAAUGUUCAUUCCUCAUGUGAUUUUUAAAAGGCAUUAUAUAAAAGGAAAAUAAUAUAAAUAACACGUGGAAGAAAUUCCAUGCUACUGAAGUAAACUGAAGCCAAUUUAAUGUGAAUGAAUUCUGGUUUGCCUUGUAUAAUCAACCUUAGAUAGAACUUGAAAGUUUUAUACCAGGAAUGUUAAUUUACACCAUGAAUGCUAGUUGAUUAAGUGAGAAGUUUGUGGUAAUUUUUUAUAGAAGUUUGGGUAUUAAAUUUUCAUCAAGAAUUACUUCCUUGAUUAAACUAUUGUUAUUAAGGAGGAAAUAAGAUUGGACCUGAGUCAUUUUGAAUCCAGGCAUGUAACUCUGUAAAAACAUAAACACUUCCUUUAUUUGAUGCUGUUCCAUUAAAAUAAUUUUUGUGCUGGACAAAGAGAAUGAUAUUGAAAGAGUAUUUUAUUUUAUAUAUUUUUAUUUUUUAAAAAAGGUUUAUUUAUUUAUUUGAGAGAGAGACAAAGAGAGUGAACAAGUGGAGGGGCAGAGGGAGAGGGAAGCAAACAGACUCCCACUGAGCACAGAGCCUAUGUGGUGCUGGAUCCUAGGACCCUGAGAUCAGGACCUGAGCCAAAAUCAAGAGUCAGAUGCUGAACCGACUGAGCCACCCAGGUACCUCAAUAAUUUUUAUCUUAAAAUAUUUUGAUGCUUACCUAGAGUUUUGGAGUGUAGGUUUUCA
rnacentral:lncRNA from 1 species